rnacentral:lncRNA from 1 species
CAGAGUUGUGCUCUCCUGCAGCGUUUUGCGGACGGCUGGCUAUCGUACCCAGAAUCAAUCACACUGGGACACUGACAAAAAAAAAAAAAAAAGGAAAAAAGAGCGAGGGAGUAAUUCUAGCCUAUUUUUACAAGAACGCAGUGGCUAUAGACAGUGCCGGUGUGAAGAUGACUCAGCAAAAGUGGAGAACCAAAGAUUCUAGGGCAGCACCAAAACUGGGAAAGCAAUUACAGCAGAAGUUGCCUUCCCCAUGGUAGCUUAGCAACUUCGUGUCUCUCCAAGGCAGAGAGGAAAAUCAAGUCUAACAGGCCUUCCCGAAGGCUAGGUGUGAAAUGCCAGAAGCCAUCUUUGUUUCUGGCGAUGUCACUAAAUAAAUAUUUGUUGAUAUAAAGUA